rnacentral:lncRNA from 1 species
CCCACCCUGACAUGUCCUCUCCCUUCCGCCGGCUUCAAGCCUUGCUGUCCCUCCCGCUCCCGCUCUCCCUAAGUAUCUUGGGGCUGCCUGUCUGCCCCAUUAAACUCCCUGGGGACAGGAUCGCGUAACCUUUGCUUCCGGCCCAACUUCCCAAGUGUUCGGCACAGCGCUCUGCCCCUGCCCCAAUUGCCCCCGUCCUACGCUAUAAGUGUCCAUAAAUGCCGCUGAUAUCGACUGAUUCAUUGCAGCAGCAAAGUGGCUUUGAAAGUGCCGACGCUUCGGAACGGAAGGGAACUCGACCCCGACGAUCGUGGGAGCGAUUCCGCGGGAGAGCUCGGCUGGUCCCGGGCCCGAGGCCUGGGCCAGGGUACGGGAUCGUAGGGGGAGUCGGCGGUGGAUCGGAAGUCGGGAGGUGCAGCCGGCUGGCCUGUGGGGAAUAACUUCAUCUGUCUGCCUCACAGGGUGCUCACGGGGUGUGCUCACGGGGUGCUCUCAAGGUGCUUGCAGGGUACUGGGCGCUCGGCCAUAUCUGGCUCGCUUGGUGCGAGCCAGGCCCCGGACUUUGGUCCAGUUGACUGGGAUGUAUCCCUUGUUUGCUCCGGACAGCAGGGGAGUAGGGAAUAAAGCCAGAUGGCGGGGCAGGGAGUGGGCUCCGAGGGGACAGAACGACAAAGACACUCGUGCAGAUAAAGGGGAGUCCUCCCCCUCAGGAGGGAAGCAAUGGAGGAGUUGGAGAGGGAUCCCCGCCCGAGCAGUUGAGAAAGACCAUGGCCCCGGUGGAGUUGAGUUCCCUGGAACAAACCGCCAGCGGAUUCAGAGAACUCCAGUUUUCGGGAGCGAUAUUGCAAGAGCUGACCUUUGGUUUCAGUGGAGAGGAAAAACACAAUUUCUGUCACCCACUGAAAAGGAUGGUCUCAUGGGAUUCUCUCUGCAAGCAAAUCCUGAUUUCCACUGACAAAGUGGAGAUUCACCUAAAUAAAUAAAAAUUUUAAAAAAUGUUGGUAUUUGUUAAGCGCUUACUAUGUGCAGAGCACUGUUCUAAGCGCUGGGGUAAACACAGGGGAAUCAGGUUGUCCCACGUGGGGCUCACAGUCUUAAUCCCCAUUUUACAGAUGAGGGAACUGAGGCACAGAGAAGUGAAGUGACUUGCCCACAGUCACACAGCUGACAAGUGGCAGAGCUGGGAUUCGAACUCAUGAGCCCUGACUCCAAAGCCCGUGCUCUUUCCACUGCGCCACACCUAAUGGGCCUUAAAUAAAAACAUAACAAUAAUAAUAAUAAUGUUGGUAUUUGUUAAGCGCUUACUCUGUGCCGACCACUGUUCUAAGCGCUAGGGUAGAUACAGGGGAAUCAGGUUGUCCCACGUAAGAUUCACAGUCUUAAUCCCCAUGUUACAGAUGAGGUAACUGAGGCCCAGAGAAGCGAAGUGACUUGCCCAAAGCUACACAGCUGACAGCUGGCGGAGGUGGGAUUAGAACCCAUGACCUCUGACUCCUAAGCCCGAUCUCUUUCCACCGACCCAUGCUGCUUUCUAUCAAAUUAGUCUUGAAUGAAACAUUUCUAUUUAACUGUAGCUCAUGCUCUAAUCUAUAAACUCCCUGUGGGCAGGGAAUGUGUCUGCUAACUCUGUUGCACUGUACUCUCCCAAGUGCUUAGUACAGUGCUCUGCACAUAUAUCAAG